GCAUAUCAAUAAGCGGAGGAAAAGAAACCAACAGGGAUUGCCUUAGUAGCGGCGAGUGAAGCGGCAAAAGCUCAAAUUUGAAAUCUGGCUCUUUCAGAGUCCGAGUUGUAAUUUGAAGAAGGUAUCUUUGGGUCUGGCUCUUGUCUAUGUUUCUUGGAACAGAACGUCACAGAGGGUGAGAAUCCCGUGCGAUGAGAUGAUCCAGGCCUAUGUAAAGUUCCUUCGAAGAGUCGAGUUGUUUGGGAAUGCAGCUCUAAGUGGGUGGUAAAUUCCAUCUAAAGCUAAAUAUUGGCGAGAGACCGAUAGCGAACAAGUACAGUGAUGGAAAGAUGAAAAGAACUUUGAAAAGAGAGUGAAAAAGUACGUGAAAUUGUUGAAAGGGAAGGGCUUGAGAUCAGACUUGGUAUUUUGUAUGUUACUUCUUCGGGGGUGGCCUCUACAGUUUAUCGGGCCAGCAUCAGUUUGGGCGGUAGGAGAAUUGCGUUGGAAUGUGGCACGGCUUCGGUUGUGUGUUAUAGCCUUCGUCGAUACUGCCAGCCUAGACUGAGGACUG
rnacentral:rRNA from 1 species